rnacentral:rRNA from 1 species
UACCAGCUCUCCGAGUGGUAGGGAUGAUUAUUGGGCUUAAAGCGUCCGUAGCCGGCUUAGCAAGUCUCCUGUUAAAUUCAGCGACCUAAUCGUUGAGCCGCGGGAGAUACUACUAGGCUAGGAGGCGGGAGAGGUCAACGGUACUUCCGGGGUAGGGGUGAAAUCCUAUAAUCCCGGGGGGACCACCAGUGGCGAAGGCUGUUGACUAGAACGCGCUCGACGGUGAGGGACGAAAGCUGGGGGAGCGAACCGGAUUAGAUACCCGGGUAGUCCCAGCUGUAAACGAUGCGAGCUAGGUGUUGGGGUGGCUACGUGCCACUUCAGUGCCGCAGGGAAGCCAUUAAGCUCGCCGCCGUGGGGAGUACGGCCGCAAGGCUGAAACUUAAAGGAAUUGGGCGGGGAGCACCACAAGGCGUGAAGCUUGCGGUUC